rnacentral:rRNA from 1 species
GACGAACGCUGGCGGCGUGCUUAACACAUGCAAGUCGAACGAUGAAGCUGGAGCUUGCUCCGGUGGAUUAGUGGCGAACGGGUGAGUAACACGUGAGCAAUCUGCCCUUGACUCUGGGAUAACUGCGGGAAACUGUAGCUAAUACCGGAUACGAGAUUUGGAGGCAUCUCCGGAUCUGGAAAGAAUUUCGGUCAAGGAUGAGCUCGCGGCCUAUCAGCUUGUUGGUGAGGUAAUGGCUCACCAAGGCGACGACGGGUAGCCGGCCUGAGAGGGUGACCGGCCACACUGAGACUGAGACACGGCCCAGACUCCUACGGGAGGCAGCAGUGGGGAAUAUUGCACAAUGGGCGAAAGCCUGAUGCAGCAACGCCGCGUGAGGGAUGAAGGCCUUCGGGUUGUAAACCUCUUUUAGUAGGGAAGAAGCGAAAGUGACGGUACCUACAGAAAAAGCACCGGCUAACUACGUGCCAGCCGCCGCAGUAA